GGCCUGAUAGCACAGCGGUUAAUGCACAUCUCUGCCCAUCGUGAAUGUAAGCAGGAAACCCUCGUUCGAAUCGGGGUCAGGCCA